rnacentral:rRNA from 1 species
CCUACGGGAGGCUGCAGUGGGGAAUAUUGCACAAUGGGGGAAACCCUGAUGCAGCGACGCCGCGUGAGUGAAGAAGUAAUUCGUUACGUAAAGCUCUAUCAGCAGGGAAGAAAUACUGACCUUACGGUCAGCAGACGGUACCUGAGUAAGAAGCCCCGGCUAACUACGUGCCAGCAGCCGCGGUAAUACGUAGGUGGCAAGCGUUGUCCGGAUUUACUGGGUGUAAAGGGCGUGCAGCCGGAGAGACAAGUCAGAUGUGAAAUCCACGGGCUCAACCCGUGAACUGCAUUUGAAACUGUUUCCCUUGAGUGUCGGAGAGGUAAUCGGAAUUCCUUGUGUAGCGGUGAAAUGCGUAGAUAUAAGGAAGAACACCAGUGGCGAAGGCGGAUUACUGGACGAUAACUGACGGUGAGGCGCGAAAGCGUGGGGAGCAAACAGGAUUAGAUACCCGAGUAGUC